UACGUAGGGGGCGAGCGUUGUCCGGAGUUACUGGGCGUAAAGCGCUUGUAGGCGGUCCACCAAGUUUGGGGUGACAGUUGCCGACUUAAUCGGCAACGUGCCUCAAAGACUGGCGGACUUGAGGGCCACAGAGGGACAUGGAACUCCAGGUGUAGUGGUGAAAUGCGUAGAUAUCUGGAAGAACACCAAAGGCGAAGGCAGUGUCCUGGGUGGUCGCUGACGCUGAGAGGCGAAAGCCAGGGGAGCGAACGGG
rnacentral:rRNA from 1 species